rnacentral:rRNA from 1 species
AGCGAACGCUGGCGGCAGGCCUAACACAUGCAAGUCGAACGAACUCUUCGGAGUUAGUGGCGGACGGGUGCGUAACACGUGGGAACGUGCCUUUAGGUUCGGAAUAACUCAGGGAAACUUGAGCUAAUACCGGAUGUGCCCUUCGGGGGAAAGAUUUAUCGCCUUUAGAGCGGCCCGCGUCUGAUUAGCUAGUUGGUGAGGUAAAGGCUCACCAAGGCGACGAUCAGUAGCUGGUCUGAGAGGAUGAUCAGCCACAUUGGGACUGAGACACGGCCCAAACUCCUACGGGAGGCAGCAGUGGGGAAUCUUGCGCAAUGGGCGAAAGCCUGACGCAGCCAUGCCGCGUGAAUGAUGAAGGUCUUAGGAUUGUAAAAUUCUUUCACCGGGGACGAUAAUGACGGUACCCGGAGAAGAAGCCCCGGCUAACUUCGUG